rnacentral:lncRNA from 1 species
AUGAUCUUCUCAGUGAUCUCUGCAGCGUGGUCGGUGGGAGUAGAUGUGGCCGAGCCGUUGAACCAGGCUCUAUCGGUGUCAGGACGCGUUGGUGGAGGAGGUGGGCUGAUGGAGGAGAGCCGACGGAGCCAUGGUGGACGAGAGCCGAUGGAGCCAUGGUGGACGAGAGCCGACGGCGCCAUGGUGGACGAGAGCCGACGGAGCCAUGGUGGACGAGGGCCGACGGAGGAGCCGUGGUGGAGGUCCUGCCUUAAGAAUGAUGUCGGGACCCGAUGGCCUUGGCUGAUGGAGGAACUGCAUCUGGAGGACGACCAUGAAUCUACCUGCCAACAACCAGGACUCUGUGAUGGAGGGGGGCUGAUAGAGCCGUGCUGA